GAACGGCAGCGCGGGAGCAAUCCUGGCGGCGAGUGGCGAACGGGUGAGUAAUACAUCGGAAUGUGCCCAUUCGUGGGGGAUAACGCAGCGAAAGCUGUGCUAAUACCGCAUACGAUCUACGGAUGAAAGCAGGGGAUCGCAAGACCUUGCGCGAAUGGAUCGGCCGAUGUCAGAUUAGGUAGUUGGUGAGGUAAAGGCUCACCAAGCCUACGAUCCGUAGCUGGUCUGAGAGGACGACCAGCCACACUGGGACUGAGACACGGCCCAGACUCCUACGGGAGGCAGCAGUGGGGAAUUUUGGACAAUGGGCGCAAGCCUGAUCCAGCCAUGCCGCGUGCAGGAUGAAGGCCUUCGGGUUGUAAAGUGCUUUUGUACGGAACGAAACGGCUCUUUUUAAUAAAGAGGGGUAAUGACGGUACCGUAAGAAUA
rnacentral:rRNA from 1 species